rnacentral:rRNA from 1 species
ACUCAAAUGAAUAGACGGGGGCCCGCACAAGCAGUGGAGUAUGUGGUUUAAUUCGAAGCAACGCGAAGAACCUUACCAGGGCUUGACAUCCCUCUGACCGCUCUAGAGAUAGGGCUUCCCUUCGGGGCAGAGGAGACAGGUGGUGCAUGGUUGUCGUCAGCUCGUGUCGUGAGAUGUUGGGUUAAGUCCCGCAACGAGCGCAACCCCUGUUGUUAGUUGCCAUCAUUAAGUUGGGCACUCUAACAAGACUGCCGGUGACAAAUCGGAGGAAGGUGGGGAUGACGUCAAAUCAUCAUGCCCCUUAUGUCCUGGGCUACACACGUACUACAAUGGCGACUACAGAGGGAAGCAAAAUCGCGAGGUGGAGCAAAUCCCCAAAAGUCGUCCCAGUUCAGAUUGCAGGCUGAAACUCGCCUGCAUGAAGUAGGAAUUGCUAGUAAUGGCAGGUCAGCAUACUGCCGUGAAUACGUUCCCGGGCCUUGUACACACCGCCCGU